GGUGGAAGUUUGAUUCUUGCUUGAUACUUUUACGUUAUAGCUGGUAAAUACAUGUAAAUAAUUGUGUGGAGUGAAAAAUGAGUAAAUUUAUUAAAAAUAAGUUUAAUUAGAAAAGUAUAAAUCGUGUUAAGAAAAUUAAAAUCACAGUAUAAAAUAUUAAAUUAUGGGCGGUAGCUUGAUUUGGUAGUUAUAAGAAGUCUGACUAAGUUUUGUGCCAGCAGUCGCGGUUACACUUUAAGAUUAAGUAAAAGUAAUUUAGUUAACAGUUAAUUAAAAAUUUAUAAGUUAGUUUAGUUUAUUUUAAUAAAAGGUAAAAUUAGAUUGUUAAUUAGUAAAUUAAAUUAGUAUAUAAAAAAGAUGAAACUGUAGAUGCCAGGGUAUGAACUAGGAUUAGAUACCCUAUUACACCUGGGAGUAAAAUUUAAAUGCUUGAAUAUUAAUAGUUAUAUUCUUUAAAAUCAAAGAAUUUGGCGGUAUUUUAGUCUUGUUAGAGGAACUUGUUCUAUAAACGAUAAAA
rnacentral:rRNA from 1 species